AUGGACCAAUCCAUCCAUUUUUCUCGUGCAUAUGCAUCGGACUCCGAUGACGAUGGUCCCGAUGAAUAAGUUGAUGAGGAGGGGUUCACGCCCAAGGAGGCCCAAGCAUUUAAGAAGGUAUUCGAGCGGGAUCACAAGACACCAUUGUUCAAGGAUCUUAUUCUUGUGGAUGAAGCCGUUGUAGAUGGUGGCAAAUGUAUAUCUCUUGGAGCUAGGCCAAGUUCUCACCGUGAUUUGGAAGACGACAAGAACGGGAUAUAUACCGGUUGUGAGUUUCAAUACUUCUUGGAAUUGAAGAUGUGGCUCGACAACUACUCGGUUACGCAUUAUCGUCCACAUGAAGUGGCCAACUCGGACGUCAAAGUGUGUUACACGGUUAAAUGUGAAUUGCCAAAAUGUCCAUGGAUUGUGCGUGCAAGGCCAUGGAAAGGAGGUCCCACUUGGCGCAUAGUGAUUUGUACGCCAAGUCACAUGUGCCGACACAAGAAUGCGGAUGGCGAGCUUGCGUACCAGCAACACAGACAACUCACGUCCGAGUUCAUUGCUUACAGGUUAUCGAACCAAAUAUCCACACUUCCAAUAAUGAGCAUCAAGAGUGUCAUUAACCUUGUGAAAGCCAUCUUUCAUUACAAGGUGAAGUACGGAAAGGCAUGA
rnacentral:rRNA from 1 species